ensembl:lncRNA
AUUUCAUCUAGUUCAUGUGGAUUUAUGAGUACACAGAACAGUUGAGAUAAAUCAGGCAGGUUAUUUGUGAAUCUCUCUUUGGUGGCUGGAACAAUAGUUCUGGCCGGACAAUAACACAGAGCCAUAUAGUUAAUAUUGGUAAUACGCAGAAUGCACGAUACAAGGAAAUGGUCAGUAACAUCAUCACUUUGAGGUACGAUAUCAGUAAGAUCGAUUAUCGAGUUUAUUAGGUAUAUACAAAGUCAAUAAACAAAGUCCUAAUGCAUAAUUUGUAUUAUCAACGUGAAUAUAAAAAUCUCAGAUGAUUAGUGCUUUAUCAACGGUAACCAAAAGGUCUGAGAUGAAAUCUGCAAAUUCUUUUAAGAAUUCUGUAUACGGCCCUGGUGGUCUAUACACAGUAGCCAGAGCAAGAGACACAAUAGAUAUCUUUUGCAUAUCUGACAGUGUAACAUUAAGCAGAAGUAUUUCAAAUGAGUUAAACCUGUAUCCUGUUUUCUGGGUAACAUUGAGAAUAUCACUUAUUAUUUGAACUAGUAUGUUUCACAAAUGACAAUAACAGAGUAUGUAAAAUAUUUAAGUUGAACAGUUUGGAAAGUAAACAGGUAACUUACUUCUUAAUCAUUCACUCACAGGAACAACAAACAUGCAGUAGUCUGUAUUCUUGCACAAAAGAAAAAGAAAUCAGUCUUUCCAUGUACUGUCCCUGAUACUUGUUCAGGCAUGUCUUGACUUUUCCAGACUUGUACAAGCAUUGAUAAAGUUAUAGACAUAAAGAUACCUCUGAGGCUGUUGUUGGGCUUUCGUAUUACCUUUCGUAUUAUAUGUUUGAGUACAAAUCGGAUUUACAUCUUUUUUUUUUUUUUGCAGAUAAGGAAAUUCCUGAUCAGGGGAGAGAUUUACCAGGUGGUCCGACAGAAUCUGAUCCACUUCAUGAUAUGUUUCAUUCUGAACCAGAUCAAGUGAAGAAAAUAAAAGUAAAACAAGGAGAAACUGUCAUUCUAAAGAGUGGUGUUAAUGAGAUACAGAGACAUGAUCGGCUACGGUGGAAAUAUGCUGAUUCCAGAGUAUCUGAAUCCACAACCUUAUAUAGUGUUAUUGCUGUAUGCGAUAAAAGGAGCAACAGGCUCUUGGAAAAGGAAGGUCCUGGAGGGAAAUUCAAAGACAGACUACAGCUGGACCAUCAGACUGGAAAUCUCACCAUCAAGAACAUGAGAGUCAAAGACAGUGGGCAAUUUAAAUUAGAGAUCAAGAGCAACACCAAUCCACUUACAAAAACAAUCAAAGUCAAUGUCCGUGCUCCCACAAAAAUGGAAUGGGAUGAUCCAAAUGACACAAUGUUGUCACUGAUACCAGAAGAGGAUCCCAACAACACUUCUACAUAUAGUGUAGAGCCGAGGACAUAGAUGAGGAGUUAUCAUAGUUAUAAAUGGUGGGGAACUGCUACACAAGGUCACAUCACAAUGACAGUAUGUCAGAUUAGAUUAGAUUAGAUUAGAUUCAACUUUAUUGUCACUGCACAUGUAAGGUACAAGGCAACGAAAUGCAGUUAGCAUCUAACCAGAAGUGCAAUAAGCAGUAAGUACAGAAUAUACAAGGUCUACAAUAUGUACAAUAACUAUACAGAAGUAUUAUGGACAAAAUUUACAGAUUUUAAAUACUAUCAGCAUGAUAUACAGAUAGGUGUACUAUGAACAUACUAUACAGAUGAAAUAUGUGAAGUGUAUGUACACUAUAGGCAGAACUAUGAACAGUAACUCUGUAUAACUCUGUAUAAAUCUCCAAAGGAUUCGUUUAACACAGUUUGAUGUUUUAUUUCUUUAAUUAUUUUUUGUGUACAGUUAUUUUGAAUCAUUUUUGUUAUACAAGAGUCCACCUUAAAUAUUACUCCAAUAAUUAAUUAAGGGGCCAAGCACAAAUAAAUGAUAUACCAUACUAGUAUCUAUCGGAAAA